rnacentral:rRNA from 1 species
UUGGAGGGCAAGUCUGGUGCCAGCAGCCGCGGUAAUUCCAGCUCCAAUAGCGUAUAUUAAAGUUGUUGCAGUUAAAAAGCUCGUAGUUGAAUUUCGGGGUUAGUAGGUUGGUCAUGCCUCUGGUAUGUACUGAUCUCACUGAUUCCUCCCUCUUGACGAACUGUAAUGUCAUUAAUUUGGUGUUGCAGGAAAUCAGGACUGUUACUUUGAAAAAAUUAGAGUGUUUAAAGCAGGCUUAGGCUUGAAUACAUUAGCAUGGAAUAAUGAAAUAGGACGUUUGAACCUAUUUUGUUGGUUUCUAGGAUCGACGUAAUGAUUAAUAGGGAUAGUUGGGGGCAUUAGUAUUCAAUUGUCAGAGGUGAAAUUCUUGGAUUUAUUGAAGACUAACUACUGCGAAAGCAUUUGCCAAGGAUGUUUUCAUUAAUCAAGAACGAAAGUUAGGGGAUCGAAGACGAUCAGAUACCGUCGUAGUCUUAACCAUAAACUAUGCCGACUAGGGAUCGGAUGAUGUUAAUUUUUUAAUGACUCAUUCGGCGCCUUACGGGAAAC